rnacentral:tRNA from 1 species
GGGCAGAUUCCCGAGUGGCUAAAGGGACCAGACUGUAAAUCUGGCGGCAUUCGCCUUCGGAGGUUCGAAUCCUCCUCUGCCCA